ensembl:lncRNA
GAUUAUUAGCCAUACCUCACACUGUACUUCUCGUAUCUUCUACAAGAUUAAAAGAGAGUGGGAAUCUCUCUUACUCCCUUACAUGACUUGAAGAUGUUCGCUGUGAGCACUGGAUUCAUGCUGAAUGCAGUCUGAAAGCUGACGAAUGCUGAGAGCUUGUGAGGGAAGAGCAAAAUAUGUUGGGAUUACAGUGGAGAUCAUGGAACAAAGCAGGGGUCAAGAUCCAGAGGAAAGACUUUUGAUAAAAACUACUGUGACUGAGCUCCAGACUUUGAUGCUAAAAAAAUACAGCUGUGACUACCUGAUGAAAGCUGCUCAGAAUAAACACUGAGUCACUGAAUCGCAGACACCAGGCUUCCCCUAUGGCGACUGAUGGAGAACGUAACUGAAAUAUGUUAUCUUAAGUAUCCCUGAAAUAAGAUAAAUUGAAAAGAGAUGGAAGAUUUAUGGAGUGGUAUACAUUGUAUAUCUACAUUUGUAUGAAUCGUACAAAAUAUGUGACUCUUUCCAAUCACAUCUGAAUAGUAGUUUCUAUAGAUUAAAAGAACUUCCAGCACAAAAGUUUACUGUGGUCUACCAAAAAAUGCCUCUUCCUUUAAUAUUUAGCAGGAUUCUAGCACAAAUAGCACAAAGUGAAAUUAUUCUGAAAUUAUAUGAUCGUUUUAAUACUUAGGUAAUUUCUCCAUAAAUUAUUUACAAAUCUGUUCCUCAGACAGGCUUCCCACUGCCUGUUAAAUAUGUGAUGCAGGUUAUCUCACCUUCCAUUUACAUUACCGUGCACUUCCCAGGGCCAUGUCUUUACACUUUUCUUUACAGUCUUAUGUCAUUUAACCAUUUAUUCAUAUAUUUUCGACUUAGAUAAAAUUCAUCCUGGGACAUAUGAUUCAACUUAUGUAUUUGAUUGUUUUCAUAGGUACAAUUUAAGAGUUUUGAGGCAGAUGCAUCACUGAGUAAAUGUCAUGUUGUCUGUUUGUUUGUUUUUAAAUAUCGCCCAGUGUAAUAUUCAUAUCUGUUUAUAUUAAUACACUGAUUGUAUUACAUAUAUUUUGUUUAUUGACUAUACUGUGUGUCUCCUCCUUAGACGAAACUAUUCAAAGUCUGCAUUAAUCAGGAUUUAAGUAAACAUAUCUGAUUUAUGACAACUUGUUUUGCUGUUGGAUGGGGAGCAGUCGGCCAGUUGUUUAAUUGUCAGUCAUCACAGUGAAACAGCAUUGAUAUUCAUUCAUUAUUGGACCUUCCACAAGCUGAAUGCAAAAUAUUUUCUUACCAGCUGACACUAUGAUAUAUUUAGUUGCUAUUAUGUUUUGUAUUUUGAAACUCAUGAGGCAAUUUGAUAUCAUAUUCCUGAAAGCAUGUAUUGCUGUAAAAAGAAAAUAAUAACUUGCCAUGAUUCUUCCAUUUCUUAGUGUUUUUCCAUCAUCAUAAAAGUUACCUAACUAAAAGGCUUUAUUUUUUUUUUAUCCUCUAAUUUUCAAAUGUAAGAUAUUUCUUAAUAGCAAGAAACAAGCAGUAAGAUGCCAACUCCUUAUUCAGCGUUUUAUGUUAGAUCUGAGAUUAUUAUUUUUAAACUACUGUUCUUCUGUACCCGAUACUCGCAAGUUAUGAUGGAGUUAAAUGAUUAAAGUAAGC